AUGGAGAAUAAGAAUCAAAUUCAGGGGGUUUUCCUUUCAGAUUUAGAUUUAGAUUCAGAUGAUGAAGAUGGAGAGGAAAUUGGGAUGCGAAACCAACGCUUGAGAGGUGUUUUUAAUUCCAGGGUUUUCUAGCACAUUUGUAAGUUGUGUUGGUCAGAAGAUGGGUGAAUGGAAGAGACAAAUAACAUAAAUUAAAGUUAAAAAAAUUAUUACCAAGAUAUUUGUUAUAGCAGCCAAGCAUUUACCUGUCCCCUGUACUUUGUAUCCCUCUGAAUCUCCAAAUCUUUGACUAACUUUAACCAUACAUCCUUCACUUUACCAGGCUCUAGUUCAAACAAUGAAAUUUGAGCACAGCCUAUGAGCUCACCAGCUUGAACGCCUUCAUCAUCAAAAACUCUCACUGUCAAGUGUUGUGUUAAUGAGUCCUCCACUAUAAACUCAAAGUGCUCAUUCCAGAUUGGAUUCAAUUGGUUGUUCUGAAGAAAUAAAUCAUUUUUUACAUUUCUUCAUACACUUGAAACUUGAAAAAUUAUAAGACAUAGGAUUUGGAUUGUCUUACAAUUGUCUUGCUAGUUUGCAUUUUCUGUCGCAAAGGACGGAUAAAUAAGGUAGCAUAAGGAUCAGACUUUCCUACUAUAUCUUUAUUUGUCAAUUCCUUUGCCUGUAUAAGCUUUACUUCUAAUGUUCCACAAGGUUUUAGCUCCA